rnacentral:rRNA from 1 species
UACGGAGGGUGCGAGCGUUGUCCGGAAUUACUGGGCGUAAAGGGCGCGUAGGCGGCUGUACAAGUCAAAGGUGAAAUCCCUCGGCUUAACCGAGGAACUGCCCUCCAAACUGCUUGGCUUGAGUCCGGGAGAGGUGAGUGGAAUUCCCAGUGUAGCGGUGAAAUGCGUAGAUAUUGGGAGGAACACCAGUGGCGAAGGCGGCUCACUGGACCGGAACUGACGCUGAGGCGCGAAAGCGUGGGGAGCAAACGGG